AACGGCCAUACCAUGCUGAAUAUACCGAUUCUCGUUAGAUCACCGAAGUCAAGCAUCAUUGGGCGCGGUCAGUACUUGGGUGGGUGACCAUCUGGGAACACCGCGUGCCGUU